CAACACUUUCAAUAACCGAAACCCGACAACACGAUUUGUCUUGUGACAAGGUUUAUACCCUCCGGCUAUAUAAGGCAAGACACCCGAUCAUAUCCAAAAGUGUGCGCUUACCAUUUACCGUGCGAUACUACUUCACCAACACUGUUUUCUAGAUACCAAGGAUGAAGGCGACCGUGCUGCUUACGUUGUUGCUUGUUUUUAGUCUCGCUUUGACAACAACUUCCGUCGUGCAAGCCGCUGACAACGGGGGUGACAGCAAAAGUGACCGCGAUGGUGACAAAAAGAAUGAAAAGAGCGAGAAAGGAGACGCCAAAUCUGCAAGAAUGGGAGAUAUAGAUCAAUAUUUGAAGUGAAAGGCGUAUGCAUCAACUCGGAAUGGAUCGAUAUUGACCUGUACAUAAACAAUAUAUAAUAAAGCAAAUGGAAAUUUAA